rnacentral:rRNA from 1 species
AUUGAACGCUGGCGGCAGGCCUAACACAUGCAAGUCGAGCGGAUGAAGGGAGCUUGCUCCUGGAUUCAGCGGCGGACGGGUGAGUAAUGCCUAGGAAUCUGCCUGGUAGUGGGGGAUAACGUCCGGAAACGGGCGCUAAUACCGCAUACGUCCUGAGGGUGAACGUGGGGGAUCUUCGGACCUCACGCUAUCAGAUGAGCCUAGGUCGGAUUAGCUAGUUGGUGGGGUAAAGGCCUACCAAGGCGACGAUCCGUAACUGGUCUGAGAGGAUGAUCAGUCACACUGGAACUGAGACACGGUCCAGACUCCUACGGGAGGCAGCAGUGGGGAAUAUUGGACAAUGGGCGAAAGCCUGAUCCAGCCAUGCCGCGUGUGUGAAGAAGGUCUUCGGAUUGUAAAGCACUUUAAGUUGGGAGGAAGAGCAGUAAGUGAAUACCUUGCUGUUUUGACGUUACCAACAGAAUAAGCACCGGCUAACUUCGUG